CACACGGUUACUACUCUCUCUAUCACAAUCACACACACACACACACAGUUUCACGCUCAAUCUUGCAUGAUGCUAUGGAGGAAACAGAAAUGUGCAUCAUAUGUGUUCGACGACAUUCAGUAGAUCUAACUCGUAUCAGUAUGCUAUUCAGUUGAUCAGUGUGUUGUAAUUUACCGGACAAAUUAUUGCAAGUCGGUAUCACACGCCAAUUAGAGGCGCGUUCGACAUUCAGGAGUUCUUACUCGUAAUCGGUAUAAUAUUCAAUUGAUCAGGUUGUUUCUUACUUUCAUUUGCAUAUUCUGUAACCUAAAUUUUCCCUCUGUUCCUUUUGUCAUGUUAUUGUUUGGUGAUUGUUUCUAAUCUGCUUGUUAAUUACUGGUUAUUUAGGCGUUUUUUGUGCUGAUGUUUGAUUUACUGGUUAUUUAGGCGUUUUUUGUGCUGAUGUUUGAUUUACUGGACUAAAAGUGUGCUGGAUACUCUCUCAAAUGGACAACACUAAAAGUUUUAACUAACUUUUAAAAACUAUUAAAUGUGCUUAAUCUAGGGAUUCCCUCCAAAAUAUAUAAUACUGCCAUCAAAGUCAAGUAGGAAAUACAUUAAAUAUCUUUGACUAAACAUGUUAUUUUGUUUCUAAUCUGCUUGUUAGUUAUUUAGGCGUUUUUUGUGCUGAUGUUUGAUUUACUGGACUGUAUUUUAAAAGAAGAAGAUGAGAGAACACAAAAAGUUUUAACUAACUUUUAAAACCUAUUAAAUGUGCUUAAUCUAUUGAUUCCCUCCAGAAACUAUAUAAUACUGCCAUCAAAGUCAAGUAGGAAAUACAUUAAAUAAAUAUCUUUAGCUAAACAUGUUAUUUUGCCUAAAAUUUAAUAGUACAAUAAUAAUCUCCAUUAUCUAUUAAAACACAAAGAGCAAAAGUCACUCACAGUCCCACAUCCGCUGAAUGAAGAACACACAGAUGAAGGGACUACCUAUAUAAACAGAGGCCUAUUACAAGAAAAAG
rnacentral:lncRNA from 1 species